CCUACGGGGGGCUGCAGUGAGGAAUAUUGGGCAAUGGGCGCAAGCCUGACCCAGCCAUGCCGCGUGAAGGAUGAAUGCCCUAUGGGUUGUAAACUUCUUUUGUACGGGACGAAACUCCUGGUCGUGACCGGGAUUGACUGUACCGUGCGAAUAAGCAUCGGCUAACUCCGUGCCAGCAGCCGCGGUAAUACGGAGGAUGCAAGCGUUAUCCGGAUUCAAGGGUUCUAAGGCGUAAGUAUAAGUCAGUGGUGAAAGCCUGCGGCUUAACCGUAGAAAUGCCAUUGAUACUGUUAUUCUUGAGUAUAGUUGAGGUGGGCGGAAUGUGUAAUGUAGCGGUGAAAUGCUUAGAUAUUACACAGAACACCAAUUGCGAAGGCAGCUCACUAAGCUGUUACUGACGCUGAGGCACGAAAGCGUGGGGAGCAAACAGGAUUAGAUACCCCUGUAGUC
rnacentral:rRNA from 1 species